rnacentral:rRNA from 1 species
GGUCAAGUGGUAAAGUGCGUACGGUGGAUGCCUAGGCACGAGGAGGCGAUGAAGGACGUGGCAAGCUGCGAUAAGCCUCGGUGAGCUGCAAGCGAGCUUCGACCCGAGGAUUUCCGAAUGGGGAAACCCGGCGGGGGUAAUGCCCCGUCACCCGAGAGGGGGCGAACCCGGUGAACUGAAACAUCUAAGUAACCGGAGGAAGAGAAAUCAAAUGAGAUUCCCUGAGUAGCGGCGAGCGAAACGGGAAUAGCCCAAACCGGUGGGGGUUAAAGCCCGCCGGGGUUGCGGGGCUCUGGAGAAUCGAGACGCAAGCGUAGUCGAACGCGCCUGGAACGGCGGACCGCAGAGGGUGAGAGUCCCGUAAGCGAAACGCACCGCGUCGAGAGCCAGAGUUCCCAAGUAGGCCGGGACACGUGAAACCCCGGCUGAAUCUGGGGGGACCAUCCUCCAAGGCUAAAUACGACCUCGUGACCGAUAGUGAACAGUACCGUGAGGGAAUGGUGAAAAGCACGCCUGACGGCGAGUGAAAUAGAACCUGAAACCGUGCGCAUACAAGCGGUAGGAGCCUGGUCCCGUCCACGGAUGGGACGCGGGUGACUGCGUGCCUUUUGCAUUAUGAUCCGGCGAGUUACUCCUCAUGUGCGAGGUUAAGGCCUUCUGGGCCGUAGCCGAAGCGAAAGCGAGUCCGAAACGGGCGCCGAAGUACAUGGGGGUAGACCCGAAACCGACGCGAUCUAUCCAUGGCCAGGUUGAAGCUGGGGUAAUGCCCGGUGGAGGACCGAACCGUUCUGUGGAUAGGGGUGAAAGGCCAAUCAAGCUCGGAGAUAGCUGGUUCUCCCCGAAAUAUAUUUAGGUAUAGCCUCAGGGAUUUUGUCCGGGAGGUAGAGCACUGAAUGGGCUAGGGGCCCCACCAGGUUACCGAACCCAAUCAAACUCCGAAUGCCCAAGACAUGAACCCUGGGAGUCAGUGGGCGGGCGAUAAUGUCCGUCCGCGAGAGGGAAACAGCCCAGACCGUCAGCUAAGGCCCCCAAGUGUGCGCUAAGUGAGAAAGGAUGUGGAUAUGCAGAGACAGCUAGGAGGUUGGCUUAGAAGCAGCCAUUCCUUUAAAGAGUGCGUAAUAGCUCACUAGUCAAGUGUGUCCGCGCCGAUAAUGGUCGGGACUCAAGCGCACCGCCGAAGCUACGGAUGUGACGGCCACCCCUCGGGGUGCGCCGAAUCAUGGUAGGGGAGCGUUCCCUGGGCCGAGAAGCGGAGCCGGAAGGUCCUCCGUGGAGCGCAGGGAAGCGAGCAUGCCGGAAUGAGUACGCGAUAAACAGAGUGAUUCCGGAGCCAGGCUUAUCCGCUCCGGGUUAGUCGGUCCCUAAGCCGAGGCCGAAGGGCGUAGGCGAUGGGAAACAGGUCAACAUUCCUGUACCGCAGUGUUCGCGUUAUUACCCAGAGGGGGGACGCGGGAGUGAAAGGACCGUCGGCAUGUGGAUCGCCGAUGUAAGGUGGUAGGCGUUGAGAGGACGAAAAACCUCUUUAGCCGAGCACCGACGCCGAAGGGGACCUCGGUCCCCGCAAAGGGUCCCUAAUCAUGCCGCCAGGAAAAGCCUCGCUGGGGAGUUGGCGCUGCGACCGUACCGUAAACGGACACACGUAGGCGAGGCGAGAAGCCUAAGGUGCUCGAGUGAUUUGCGGAGAAGGAACUCGGCAAAAUGUCCCCGUAACUUCGGGAAAAGGGGAGCCCGUGGUAGGUGAAGCCGACGCAUGGUGGAGCCGAAGCGGGCCGCAGAGAAUCGGCCCAGGCGACUGUUUAGCAAAAACACAGGUGUCUGCAAAGUCGUUAAGACGACGUAUAGGCACUGACGCCUGCCCGGUGCCGGAAGGUUAAGAAGAGGGGUUAGCUCACGCGAAGCUCUGAAUUGAAGCCCCGGUAAACGGCGGCCGUAACUAUAACGGUCCUAAGGUAGCGAAAUUCCUUGUCGGGUAAGUUCC